AUGCUAGGAAAAGUCCAUCCCAUCAUGGUCGGCCAUCGCAGCUCCUCCUCUCCCUCCCGUAGCCCUAAGCCAGGCAAUUGGAAGAAGUGUUCCCUCCCUCAUAGCCAAUUAGUAGAGUUACAAACCCAGGGAUUCCUCCCUCCAGCGUAUAUGGUCCCUGUUCGAGCCGGACUCGCGACCUACAAUGGCGGGGAGCAAGCGGAGAGCUUUCCCAACCCAUCCAUGGGGGAGCGGGUAUGCCUUGUCCCUUACUUAUUAAUGGGGCUCAGAUUUCCAAUCAAUCCGUUCCUCCGCGGGCUCCUAGAGUUGUACGGCCUCCAGCUGCACAACUUUACUCCCGCCUCC
rnacentral:rRNA from 1 species